UACGUAGGGGGCAAGCGUUGUCCGGAAUCAUUGGGCGUAAAGCGCGUGUAGGCGGCCCGAUAAGUCCGCUGUGAAAGUCCAGGGCUCAACCCUGGAAUGCCGGUGGAUACUGUCGGGCUAGAGUCCGGAAGAGGCAAGUGGAAUUCCCGGUGUAGCGGUGAAAUGCGCAGAUAUCGGGAAGAACACCAAUGGCGAAGGCAGCUUGCUGGGACGGUACUGACGCUGAGGCGCGAAAGCGUGGGGAGCAAACAGG
rnacentral:rRNA from 1 species